GAACCGAGGACCCCAGCAGUGAGUUCAGCUGCUUCGGUGUUGUCAGAGUCAGCCAGAGGUGAGUGGAACUAAACUUAAUCUUUUAAAUUAAAUGUUUUAUCAUGUUUCAUGCAUCAUGAUUAUACAAUAGGAUGAUUGCAUUAGUUUUCACGAAUAUGUCACAUUGCAUCGAUUGUUGUUGAUGUGGGUGAAUGUUGGAUGACCCAAUUAGUCCAUGACAGGAAGACCAGGACCCCAUUCUACGGCCUGGCACAGAGUAAGGAAAGACCAGGACCCCAUUCUACGGCCUGGCACAGAGUGGGACUCGAAGACCAGGAGCUCAGAGGAGGCCCUGGGAUAAUGGUAAGCAAUGUAUGUAUGACAGGAAGACCAGGACCCCAUGCUACGGCCUGGCACAGAGUUAGCUUGGACUAAUUGGUGACAAGUUCACCCAACCCUUAUGUGAAUUGUUUGUGUUAUGAUGCAUUUCAUAGAGCAUAGUGUUAAUGUGUUUUAAUAGCUCUACUCACUGGGCUUCUAGCUCACCCCUCUCCCUUUACCCCCAGGCUUGCAGGUACAGUAUAGUGCGAGAGUCCGGAUAGAGUAAAGAAGUCAUGCUUAUGUAAUAGCUAGCAAU
rnacentral:lncRNA from 1 species